rnacentral:rRNA from 1 species
GUGAGGAAUAUUGGUCAAUGGGCGAGAGCCUGAACCAGCCAAGUCGCGUGAAGGAUGAAGGUUUUAUGAAUUGUAAACUUCUUUUGCAGGGGAAUAAAGUACGGUACGUGUACCGUUUUGUAUGUACUCUGCGAAUAAGGAUCGGCUAACUCCGUGCCAGCAGCCGCGGUAAUACGUAGGAUCCAAGCGUUAUCCGGAUUUAUUGGGUUUAAAGGGUGCGCAGGCGGGUUGAUAAGUCAGCGGUGAAAGUUUGCAGCUUAACUGUGAAAUUGCCGUUGAAACUGUCGAUCUUGAGUGCAUAUGAGGUAAGCGGAAUGUGUUGUGUAGCGGUGAAAUGCUUAGAUAUAACACAGAACACCGAUUGCGAAGGCAGCUUACGGGGAUGCAACGGACGCUCAUGAACGAAAGCGUGGGGAUCAAACAGGAUUAGAUACCCUGGUAGUCC